rnacentral:misc_RNA from 1 species
GCAAACUUGGUCAUUUAGAGGAAGUAAAAGUCGUAACAAGGUUUCCGUAGGUGAACCUGCGGAAGGAUCAUUAUUGAAAUCAUUGAGGGUUUUUUGGAAAGUUUGCGGUUGGAGGGAAACCGAAGACGCGAACGCAAAAGCCUGAAAUUAUAUUCGUGAACUUGUAUUUUAUUUGAGACUUGCUUGGUGGUGGAUGCUUGCUUAUAGCGGAAGCCACCAUUAGUCUAUUUUAUCAAACUUUUUAAAAUCUAAGUCUGAAAUUUUUAUUCCAAGAAAAUCUAAAACUUUCAACAACGGAUCUCUUGGUUCUCGCAUCGAUGAAGAACGCAGC